rnacentral:lncRNA from 1 species
CCUGGGAAGGGAAAAGGAACAGGAAGGGAGGUAAUUCUGAUGCAUCCUCAAGAUUGACGACCACUGCUCUAAACGCAAGCCUGUGAUCAACAAACCGUGUUUGAAUGUCUACUAUAUGCAAAUUGUUACCAAGCCCUCAACUCCUGAUGCAGUGACUUCAUUUCUCUGUACCCCAUGCCUGUUAUCAAGAUCAGAAGUACUGCAGCACCCAGCCUCACCAUCUAUUUACCCAGCAGGUGACUGUUGGCAAUACCUUGAUUGACCGGCACCUGUUACAAGAUGAGACUCUUGAAAUGGAGUUUGGGACCCUCUCUUCUGGUUUGAACACUAACACUGUGUUUGGAUUUCUUUUGUUGCUUCCCAAUUACUGCAGUAAACCCCAUGAAUCUCCAGUUGUGGCCCUGACUCAGUCCCUGUUACAAUCCCCCAUGGGCUCUAGUCACUGCUUUGCUUUUAUCUUCUAGUCCUGCUGUGGGGCUCUUAGUCCCUGUUAUGGGCUGAAUUGUGUUCCAUCAAAUUCGUAUGUUGAUGUUCUCACCCCCACUAACUCAGAAUGUGACAGUAUUUGGACACAGGGUCUUUACAGGCAAUUAAGUUAAAAUGAAGCUUUUUGAAUGAGCUUUAAAACAAUAUGACUGGUGUCUACAACAAGAGGACAUCAGGGCACAGGCAUGCACAGAGGGAAGACUAUGUGAGGGCACAGAGAGCCAUUGUCCAUCUGAAGGCCAAGGAGAUAGGCCCCAGAAGAAACCAACUUUGUUGUCAGCGUGAUUCAGACUUCUAGCCUCCAGAACUGCGAGAAAAUGAAUUUCUGUUGUUUAAGCCACCCAGUCAGUCCUACUUUGUCAUGGCCAUCCUAGCAAAUGAGGGCUCCUUCCCCCGUUUCCAGUUGUCCCUCAAAACUCCAUGACAAAUUCUUUAGGGACACGGAGGAAGCAGCAGCAUCUAUCUUUAUGGAGGGAUGUAUAGCAAAAGCCAUGAGAAUCAGUGAUUCCUGCAAAAUUCCUGAGGAGAGUGAGGCUUAUGACAAGCGUGCAUGGGGAAUAUUUUUGUUGGCUUGCUUUAUGCUGCUCCCUUUUGUUUUUAUUUUGCAUUUUUUUCCAAAUAUGAUACCAACCUCAGUGUCUUCAACUCUGGAUGUGGCUCUCUAUACAAACUGGGACUUUGGGUUUACUGUGAUCAACAAAACCUGUUUGAAUGUCUACCAUAUGCAAAUCCCCAGGCUAGGGAGUUAGAAAGAGCCAUUUGUCCAUAUAUAUGUGAUUAUGUACAUUUCUAUAUAAUGUGUCUUGGGGAGAUGAUGGCUAUGUAGCUUGAAAAAAAACUAACUCUAGGUAGAAUAGGAAAACUUUCAAAUGAAUGGUAAAGGCAUCAACCAGCAUGGAAAAAAAAAUCCAAUUUAGAAAUGCUACUUGAAAUGGGCCAAUUUUGGACAAAUGGAUAGAAAAUGGGAUAUUUAAAAUGUGAAACAGACAAGCAAGGAGCAAGGUUUACUUUAAGUGCUCUGUCCUACAUCCCUUGCCAGUGAAAUCUAUUAUGUUCAUUUAACCCUGGCACCACUGUUCUCUCUUCCAUAAAUCAUUUUCUACUCCCCCAAGAAAAAUAUCUUGCUUCUUUUCAAUAUUUGCAAAGCCUUUUGCACAUAAGUACACAACAAAUCACACUGUUUUAGCAACUUAUGUAUAUCUGUCUAUCUGCUUGAGCGUGUAAGAUACUUAUGGAUAAGCACUGUUUAUUGAAAUCAACUCAGUAUCUCAGGACUUGACUCAAACUAGGUAUCAAAAAAGUGAUUGUGGCCAGGUGAA